GGAGAGGUGGCCGAGUGGCUGAAGGCACUCGCCUGCUAAGCGAGUAGGGGGCUGAUUGCUCUCUCGAGGGUUCGAAUCCCUCCCUCUCCG
rnacentral:tRNA from 1 species